rnacentral:rRNA from 1 species
AGUGAACGCUGGCGGUAGGCCCAACACAUGCAAGUCGAACGGCAGCACAGAGGAGCUUGCUCCUUGGGUGGCGAGUGGCGGACGGGUGAGGAAUACAUCGGAAUCUACUCUGUCGUGGGGGAUAACGUAGGGAAACUUACGCUAAUACCGCAUACGACCUACGGGUGAAAGCAGGGGACCUUCGGGCCUUGCGCGAUUGAAUGAGCCGAUGUCGGAUUAGCUAGUUGGGGGGGUAAGGACCACCAAGGCGACGAUCCGUAGCUGGUCUGAGAGGAUGAUCAGCCACACUGGAACUGAGACACGGUCCAGACUCCUACGGGAGGCAGCAGUGGGGAAUAUUGGACAAUGGGCGCAAGCCUGAUCCAGCCAUACCGCGUGGGUGAAGAAGGCCUUCGGGUUGUAAAGCCCUUUUGUUGGGAAAGAAAUCCAGCUGGCUAAUACCCGGUUGGGAUGACGGUACCCAAAGAAUAAGCACCGGCUAACUUCGUGCCAGCCGCCGCAGUAA